AACGAACGCUGGCGGCAGGCUUAACACAUGCAAGUCGAACGGACGUAGCAAUACGUUAGUGGCGCACGGGAGAGUAACACGUGGGAACCUACCUUUUAGUUCGGGAUAACGUCGGGAAACUGACGCUAAUACCGGAUACGCCCCAAGGGGGAAAGAUUUAUCGCUAAAAGAUGGGCCCGCGCUAGAUUAGCUUGUUGGUGAGGUAAUGGCUCACCAAGGCUACGAUCUAUAGCUGGUCUGAGAGGAUGACCAGCCUCACUGGGACUGAGACACGGCCCAGACUCCUACGGGAGGCAGCAGUGGGGAAUAUUGGACAAUGGGGGAAACCCUGAUCCAGCCAUGCCGCGUGAAUGAUGAAGGCCUUCGGGUUGUAAAGUUCUUUUGGAGGGGACGAUGAUGACGGUACCCUCAGAAUAAGCUCCGGCUAACUUCGUGCCAGCAGCCGCGGUAA
rnacentral:rRNA from 1 species